CCUACGGGAGGCAGCAGUGAGGAAUAUUGGUCAAUGGACGAGAGUCUGAACCAGCCAAGUAGCGUGAAGGAUGACUGCCCUAUGGGUUGUAAACUUCUUUUAUAUGGGAAUAAAAUGUUCCACGUGUGGGAUUUUGUAUGUACCAUAUGAAUAAGGAUCGGCUAACUCCGUGCCAGCAGCCGCGGUAAUACGGAGGAUCCGAGCGUUAUCCGGAUUUAUUGGGUUUAAAGGGAGCGUAGGUGGGUUGUUAAGUCAGUUAUGAAAGUUUGCGGCUCAACCGUAAAAUUGCAGUUGAAACUGGCAGUCGUGAGUGCAGUAGAGGUGGGCGGAAUUCGUGGUGUAGCGGUGAAAUGCUUAGAUAUCACGAAGAACUCCGAUUGCGAAGGCAGCUCACUGGACUGCAACUGACACUGAGGCUCGAAAGUGUGGGUAUCAAACAGGAUUAGAUACCCGGGUAGUC
rnacentral:rRNA from 1 species